rnacentral:miRNA from 10 species
CGACUCAGUGUGACUGCCUGGA